rnacentral:misc_RNA from 1 species
GAUGAAGAACGCAGCAAAAUGCGAUAAGUAAUGUGAAUUGCAGAAUUCAGUGAAUCAUCGAAUCUUUGAACGCACAUUGCGCCCGCUGGUAUUCCGGCGGGCAUGCCUGUUCGAGCGUCAUUUCAACCCUCAAGCCCCCGGGUUUGGUGUUGGGGAUCGGCUCUGCCCUUCUGGGCGGUGCCGCCCCCGAAAUACAUUGGCGGUCUCGCUGCAGCCUCCAUUGCGUAGUAGCUAACACCUCGCAACUGGAACGCGGCGCGGCCAUGGCGUAAAACCCCAACUUCUGAAUGUUGACCUCGGAUCAGGUAGGAAUACCCGCUGAACUUAAGCAUAUCAAUAAGCGGAGGA